rnacentral:rRNA from 1 species
CAAUGGAGAGUUUGAUCCUGGCUCAGGACGAACGCUGGCGGCGUGCUUAACACAUGCAAGUCUAAGGAGAACGAAUU